CCUACGGGAGGCAGCAGUGAGGAAUAUUGGUCAAUGGGCGCGAGCCUGAACCAGCCAAGUAGCGUGAAGGAUGACUGCCCUACUGGUUGUAAACUUCUUUUAUCAAGGCAUAAAGUGCGGCACGUGUGCCUUUUUGUAUGUACUUUAUGAAUAAGGAUCGGCUAACUCCGUGCCAGCAGCCGCGGUAAUACGGAGGAUCCGAGCGUUAUCCGGAUUUAUUGGGUUUAAAGGGAGCGUAGAUGGGUUGUUAAGUCAGUUGUGAAAGUUUGCGGCUCAACCGUAAAAUUGCAAUUGAUACUGGCAGGCUUGAGUACAGUUGAGGUAGGCGGAAUUAGUGGUGUAGCGGUGAAAUGCUUAGAUAUCACGAAGAACUCCGAUUGCGAAGGCAGCUUACGAAACUGCAACUGACAUUGAUGCUCGAAAGUGUGGGUAUCAAACAGGAUUAGAUACCCUUGUAGUC
rnacentral:rRNA from 1 species